rnacentral:rRNA from 1 species
AUGCAGUCGAGGGGUAUAGUUCUUCGGAAUUAGAGACCGGCGCACGGGUGCGUAUCGCGUAUGCAAUCUACCUUUUACAGAGGGAUAGCCCAGAGAUAUUUGGAUUAAUACCUCAUAGCAUUGCAGAAUGGCAUCAUUCAGCGAUUAAAGUCACAACGGUAAAAGAUGAGCAUGCGUCCCAUUAGCUAGUUGGUAAGGUAACGGCUUACCAAGGCUACGAUGGGUAGGGGUCCUGAGAGGGAGAUCCCCCACACUGGUACUGAGACACGGACCAGACUCCUACGGGAGGCAGCAGUGAGGAAUAUUGGACAAUGGGCGCAAGCCUGAUCCAGCCAUGCCGCGCGCAGGAUGACGGUCCUAUGGAUUGUAAACUGCUUUUGCACAGGAAGAAACAACGCUACGUGUAGCGUCUUGACGGUACUGUGAGAAUAAGGAUCGGCUAACUCCGUGCCAGCAGCCGCGGUAAUACGGAGGAUCCAAGCGUUAUCCGGAAUCAUUGGGUUUAAA